UUAAGUGAAUAAGGGCGCACGGUGGAUGCCUUGGCACUAGGAGCCGAUGAAGGACGGGACUAACACCGAUAUGCUUUGGGGAGCUGUACGUAAGCUAUGAUCCAGAGAUUUCCGAAUGGGGGAACCCAACAUCUUUAAUAGGAUGUUACGAUUGUGUGAAUACAUAGCACAUUCGAGGUAGACGCAGAGAACUGAAACAUCUAAGUACCUGCAGGAAGAGAAAGAAAAUUCGAUUCCCUGAGUAGCGGCGAGCGAAACGGGAAAAGCCCAAACCAGCAAGCUUGCUUGUUGGGGUUGUAGGACUCCAAUAUGGUAGUUCUUUCAGAUAGUCGAAUGACUUGGAAAAGUCAGUCAAAGAGGGUAAAAACCCCGUAGACGAAAUGUGGAAGACACCUAGGAGGAUCCUGAGUACGGCGGAACACGAGAAAUUCCGUCGGAAUCCGGGAGGACCAUCUCCCAAGGCUAAAUACUCCCUAGUGACCGAUAGUGAACCAGUACCGUGAGGGAAAGGUGAAAAGCACCCCGGAAGGGGAGUGAAAUAGAACCUGAAACCGUGUGCCUACAACAAGUCAAAGCCCGUUAAUGGGUGAUGGCGUGCCUUUUGUAGAAUGAACCGGCGAGUUACGAUUGCAUGCGAGGUUAAGUUGAAGAGACGGAGCCGCAGCGAAAGCGAGUCUGAAUAGGGCGUUUGAGUAUGUAGUCGUAGACCCGAAACCAUGUGAUCUACCCAUGUCCAGGUUGAAGGUGCGGUAAAACGCACUGGAGGACCGAACCCACGUACGUUGAAAAGUGCGGGGAUGAGGUGUGGGUAGCGGAGAAAUUCCAAACGAACUUGGAGAUAGCUGGUUCUCUCCGAAAUAGCUUUAGGGCUAGCCUCGGAAUUGAGAAUGAUGGAGGUAGAGCACUGUUUGGACUAGGGGCCCAUCUCGGGUUACCGAAUUCAGAUAAACUCCGAAUGCCAUUCAUUCAUAUCCGGGAGUCAGACUGUGAGUGAUAAGAUCCAUAGUCGAAAGGGAAACAGCCCAGACCACCAGCUAAGGUCCCAAAAUAUAUGUUAAGUGGAAAAGGAUGUGGGGUUGCACAGACAACUAGGAUGUUGGCUUAGAAGCAGCCAUCAUUUAAAGAGUGCGUAAUAGCUCACUAGUCGAGUGACCCUGCGCCGAAAAUGUACCGGGGCUAAACAUAUUACCGAAGCUGUGGAGUACACCUUUAGGUGUAUUGGUAGGAGAGCGUUCUAAGGGCGUUGAAGGCAGAUCGUGAGGACUGCUGGAGCGCUUAGAAGUGAGAAUGCCGGUAUGAGUAGCGAAAGACAGGUGAGAAUCCUGUCCACCGAAUGACUAAGGUUUCCUGGGGAAGGCUCGUCCGCCCAGGGUUAGUCGGGACCUAAGCCGAGGCCGACAGGCGUAGGCGAUGGAUAACAGGUUGAUAUUCCUGUACCCGUUGUUUUUGUUUGAGCAAUGGAGGGACGCAGGAGGCUAAGGAAUGCAGACGAUCGGAAAUGUCUGUCCAAGCAGUAAGUCUGAAGAGGAGUCAAAUGCUUCUUUUCUUAAGGACAAGCUGUGAUGGGGAGGGAAAUAAUAGUACCGAAGUUCCUGAUGUCACACUGCCGAGAAAAGCUUCUAGUGAGAAAACAGCGGCCCGUACCGCAAACCGACACAGGUAGUCGAGGAGAGAAUCCUAAGGUGAGCGAGAGAACUCUCGUUAAGGAACUCGGCAAAAUGACCCCGUAACUUCGGGAGAAGGGGUGCUGAUCAUACGAUCAGCCGCAGUGAAUAGGCCCAAGCGACUGUUUAUCAAAAACACAGGUCUCUGCAAAAUCGUAAGAUGAAGUAUAGGGGCUGACGCCUGCCCGGUGCUGGAAGGUUAAGAGGAGUGCUUAGCGCAAGCGAAGGUACGAAUUGAAGCCCCAGUAAACGGCGGCCGUAACUAUAACGGUCCUAAGGUAGCGAAAUUCCUUGUCGGGUAAGUUCCGACCCGCACGAAAGGCGUAACGAUUUGGGCACUGUCUCAACGAGAGACUCGGUGAAAUUUUAGUACCUGUGAAGAUGCAGGUUACCCGCGACAGGACGGAAAGACCCCAUGGAGCUUUACUGUAGUUUGAUAUUGAGUGUCUGUACCGCAUGUACAGGAUAGGUAGGAGCCGUAGAAAUCGGAACGCUAGUUUCGAUGGAGGCGCUGGUGGGAUACUACCCCUGCGUUAUGGCCACUCUAACCCGCACCACUAAUCGUGGUGGGAGACAGUGUCAGAUGGGCAGUUUGACUGGGGCGGUCGCCUCCUAAAAGGUAACGGAGGCGCCCAAAGGUUCCCUCAGAAUGGUUGGAAAUCAUUCGAAGAGUGUAAAGGCAGAAGGGAGCUUGACUGCGAGACCAACAAGUCGAGCAGGGACGAAAGUCGGGCUUAGUGAUCCGGUGGUUCCGCAUGGAAGGGCCAUCGCUCAACGGAUAAAAGCUACCCUGGGGAUAACAGGCUUAUCUCCCCCAAGAGUCCACAUCGACGGGGAGGUUUGGCACCUCGAUGUCGGCUCGUCGCAUCCUGGGGCUGUAGUCGGUCCCAAGGGUUGGGCUGUUCGCCCAUUAAAGCGGCACGCGAGCUGGGUUCAGAACGUCGUGAGACAGUUCGGUCCCUAUCCGUCGCGGGCGUUGGAAAUUUGAGAGGAGCUGUCCUUAGUACGAGAGGACCGGGAUGGACUUACCGCUGGUGUACCAGUUGUUCUGCCAAGGGCAUUGCUGGGUAGCUAUGUAGGGAAGGGAUAAACGCUGAAAGCAUCUAAGUGUGAAGCCCACCUCAAGAUGAGAUUUCCCAUUUCUUUAAGAAAGUAAGAUCCCUGAGAGAUGAUCAGGUAGAUAGGUCAGGAGUGGAAGUACAGUGAUGUAUG
rnacentral:rRNA from 1 species